CGCGAAUGGCUCAUUAUAACAGGCUAUAAUUUUACUUGAUCUUGACACAAUCCUAACUGGGAUAACUGUGGUAAUUCUAGAGCUAAUACAUGCAUUAAAGCUCUGACCGCAAGGGAAGAGUGCACUUAUUAGAACAAAACCAAGCGGCUUCGGCUGUUUUCGGUUGACUCAUAGUAACUGAGCUGAUCGCACGGUCUUGCACCGGCGACGUGUCUUUCAAGUAUCUGCCGUAUCAACUUUCGAUGGUAGUGUAUCUGACUACCAUGGUGAUCACGCGUAACGGAGAAUAAGGGUUCGGCCCCGGAGAGUUCGCCUGAGAAAUCGCGAACACAUCUAAGGAAGGCAGCAGGCGCGAAAAUUACCCACUCUCAGCACGAGGAGGUAGUGACGAAAAAUAACGAGACCGUUCUCUUAUGAGGCCGGUCAUCGGAAUGGGUACAAUUUAAACCCUUUAACGAGUAUCUAUGAGAGGGCAAGUCUGGUGCCAGCAGCCGCGGUAAUUCCAGCU
rnacentral:rRNA from 1 species